rnacentral:rRNA from 1 species
UCCUACGGGGCGCAGCAGUGAGGAAUAUUGGUCAAUGGGCGGGAGCCUGAACCAGCCAAGUCGCGUGAGGGAAGAAGGUACUGAGUAUUGUAAACCUCUUUUGCCAGGGGACAAAGGCGGCCACGGGUGGCCGUAAGAGGGUACCUGGAGAAAAAGCAUCGGCUAACUCCGUGCCAGCAGCCGCGGUAAUACGGAGGAUGCGAGCGUUAUCCGGAUUUAUUGGGUUUAAAGGGUGCGUAGGCGGACUGGAAAGUCAGCGGUAAAAUCGAGAGGCUCAACCUCUUUCCGCCGUUGAAACUGUCGGU